rnacentral:rRNA from 1 species
UGACGGGUAGCUGGUUUGAGAGAAUGAUCAGCCACGAUGGAACUGAGACACGGUCCAUACUCCUACGGGAGGCAGCAGUAGGGAAUCUUCCACAAUGGGCGAAAGCCUGAUGGAGCAACACCGCGUGAUUGAUGAAGCCCCUUGGGGUGUAAAGAUCUUUUCUGGGGGAAGAAUUCUGACGGUACCCUAGGAAUAAGCACCGGCUAACUCCGUGCCAGCAGCCGCGGUAAUACGGAGGGUGCAAGCGUUAUCCGGAAUUAUUGGGCGUAAAGCGUCCGCAGGCGGUAUAGUAAGUUAGAUAUUAAAGACGACAGCUCAACUGUCGGACCUUGUCUAAAACUACUAAACUAGAGUCUUGGAGAGGUGCGUAGAAUUCCGCAUGUAGGGGUAAAAUCCGUAGAUAUGCAGAGGAAUACCAAAAGCGAAGGCAGCGCACUGGCCAAGUACUGACGCUCAUGGACGAAAGCGUGGGGAGCAAACAGGAUUAGAUACCCUGGUAGUCCACGCCGUAAACAAUGGAUACUCGGUGUUGGUUCUCUCAACCGGAAUCAGUGCCUAAGCUAACGCGAUAAGUAUCCCGCCUGAGGAGUACGGUCGCAAGAUUAAAACUCAAAGGAAUAGACGGGGACCCACACAAGCGGUGGAGCAUCUGGUUUAAUUCGAUAAUAAGCGAGGAACCUUACCCAGGCUUGACAUCCCGAAAUCCCCCGGAAACGGAGGAGUGCCUUCUGGAACUCGGUGACAGGUGCUGCAUGGUUGUCGUCAGCUCGUGCCUUGAGGUGUUCGGUUAAGUCCGUGAACGAGCGCAACCCUUAUCCUAUGUUGUAUUUUUCAUAGGAGACUGCCGGCUUCAAGUCGGAGGAAGGUAAGGAUGACGUCAAAUCAGCAUGGCCCUUAUGCCUGGGGCUACACAGGUGCUACAAUGGGUGGUAUAACGGGCAGCGAAGCAGCAAUGUGGAGCCAAUCCUUCAAAACCAUCCCAAGUUCGGAUUGGGGGCUGCAACUCGCCCCCAUGAAGUUGGAAUCGCUAGUAAUCGUGCAUCAGCAAUGGCGCGGUGAAUCUGUUCCUGGGUCUUGUACUCACCGCCCGUCGAGUGAUGAAAGGUGGAGGCGCCCGAAGUCCCCGAUUUAAUUGGGGCCUAAGGUGAAGCCACUGAUUGGCACUAAGUCGUAACAAGGUAUCCGUAGGAGAACCUGCGGAUG